CCUACGGGAGGCAGCAGUGAGGAAUAUUGGUCAAUGGGCGAGAGCCUGAACCAGCCAAGUCGCGUGAAGGAUGACGGCCCUACGGUUGGUAAACUUCUUUUGUCAGGGAGCAGUUGGGUCCACGCGUGGGCUUAGCGAGAGUACCUGAAGGAAAAGCAUCGGCUAACUCCGUGCGAGCAGCCGCGGGAGUACGGAGGAUGCGAGCGUGAUCCGGAUUUAUUGGGGUUAAAGGGUGCGUAGGCGGAAUAUCAAGUCAGCGGUAAAACGUCGGGGCUCAACCCCGUCGUGCCGUUGAAACUGAUGUUCUUGAGUGGGCGAGAAGUAUGCGGAAUGCGUGGUGUAGCGGUGAAAUGCAUAGAUAUCACGCAGAACUCCGAUUGCGAAGGCAGCAUACCGGCGCCCAACUGACGCUGAAGCACGAAAGCGUGGGUAUCGAACAGGAUUAGAUACCCGGGUAGUC
rnacentral:rRNA from 1 species